GAAUAUUAGUCAAUGAUCGAAAGAUUGAUCUAGUUACUUAGAAAGAUGAAGAUUAUAAAAAAAAAGUAAAAAGAAAAUAAUAAUGAAGAAUAUAAAAUCAAUAUAUAUAUAGGAGAAAAAAGAUGAGAAUAUAUAUAGAAGUCUUAACCAAAAUUAGUGCCAGCAGUUGCGGCUAAACUAAGGAGGCAAACGUUAAUCAUUAAUGGCUUAAAGGAUCCGUAGAAUGAUAUAUUAAAAAAUAUAUUAGAGUUAAAUAGAAUAAUUAUGAAAAAUUAUAUUGAGAGAUGAAAUGUGUGGAAAAUAAUUAGACAAAUAAACGUGAAGAUAAAAUUAAAAAUUUAACUGACAUUGAGGGAUGAAGGCAUGAGUAGCAAAACGGAUUAGAUACCCGAGUAGUUCAUGCAGUAAACGAUGAAUACUUAUUGAAAAAUAAAAGCGAAAGCAAAAGUAUUCCGCCAGGAGAGUAUAGCUUCAAAGUUGAAAUCCAAGACAAUAGACGGUUACAGUUGUAGGCAGUGGAUUGUGUUAUUUAAU
rnacentral:rRNA from 1 species